UGAAACCGUGUGCUUACAAGUAGUCAGAGCCCGUUAAUGGGUGAUGGCGUGCCUUUUGUAGAAUGAACCGGCGAGUUACGAUUUGAUGCAAGGUUAAGCAGUAAAUGUGGAGCCGUAGCGAAAGCGAGUCUGAAUAGGGCGUUUAGUAUUUGGUCGUAGACCCGAAACCAGGUGAUCUACCCUUGGUCAGGUUGAAGUUCAGGUAACACUGAAUGGAGGACCGAACCGACUUACGUUGAAAAGUGAGCGGAUGAACUGAGGGUAGCGGAGAAAUUCCAAUCGAACCUGGAGAUAGCUGGUUCUCUCCGAAAUAGCUUUAGGGCUAGCCUCAAGUGAUGAUUAUUGGAGGUAGAGCACUGUUUGGACGAGGGGCCCCUCUCGGGUUACCGAAUUCAGACAAACUCCGAAUGCCAAUUAAUUUAACUUGGGAGUCAGAACAUGGGUGAUAAGGUCCGUGUUCGAAAGGGAAACAGCCCAGACCACCAGCUAAGGUCCCAAAAUAUAUGUUAAGUGGAAAAGGAUGUGGCGUUGCCCAGACAACUAGGAUGUUGGCUUAGAAGCAGCCAUCAUUUAAAGAGUGCGUAAUAGCUCACUAGUCGAGUGACACUGCGCCGAAAAUGUACCGGGGCUAAACAUAUUACCGAAGCUGUGGAUUGUCCUUUGGACAAUGGUAGGAGAGCGUUCUAAGGGCGUUGAAGCAUGAUCGUAAGGACAUGUGGAGCGCUUAGAAGUGAGAAUGCCGGUGUGAGUAGCGAAAGACGGGUGAGAAUCCCGUCCACCGAUUGACUAAGGUUUCCAGAGGAAGGCUCGUCCGCUCUGGGUUAGUCGGGUCCUAAGCUGAGGCCGACAGGCGUAGGCGAUGGAUAACAGGUUGAUAUUCCUGUACCACCUAUAAUCGUUUUAAUCGAUGGGGGGACGCAGUAGGAUAGGCGAAGCGUGCGAUUGGAUUGCACGUCUAAGCAGUAAGGCUGAGUAUUAGGCAAAUCCGGUACUCGUUAAGGCUGAGCUGUGAUGGGGAGAAGACAUUGUGUCUUCGAGUCGUUGAUUUCACACUGCCGAGAAAAGCCUCUAGAUAGAAAAUAGGUGCCCGUACCGCAAACCGACACAGGUAGUCAAGAUGAGAAUUCUAAGGUGAGCGAGCGAACUCUCGUUAAGGAACUCGGCAAAAUGACCCCGUAACUUCGGGAGAAGGGGUGCUCUUUAGGGUUAACGCCCAGAAGAGCCGCAGUGAAUAGGCCCAAGCGACUGUUUAUCAAAAACACAGGUCUCUGCUAAACCGUAAGGUGAUGUAUAGGGGCUGACGCCUGCCCGGUGCUGGAAGGUUAAGAGGAGUGGUUAGCUUCUGCGAAGCUACGAAUCGAAGCCCCAGUAAACGGCGGCCGUAACUAUAACGGUCCUAAGGUAGCGAAAUUCCUUGUCGGGUAAGUUCCGACCCGCACGAAAGGCGUAACGAUUUGGGCACUGUCUCAACGAGAGACUCGGUGAAAUCAUAGUACCUGUGAAGAUGCAGGUUACCCGCGACAGGACGGAAAGACCCCGUGGAGCUUUACUGUAGCCUGAUAUUGAAAUUCGGCACAGCUUGUACAGGAUAGGUAGGAGCCUUUGAAACGUGAGCGCUAGCUUACGUGGAGGCGCUGGUGGGAUACUACCCUAGCUGUGUUGGCUUUCUAACCCGCACCACUUAUCGUGGUGGGAGACAGUGUCAGGCGGGCAGUUUGACUGGGGCGGUCGCCUCCUAAAAGGUAACGGAGGCGCUCAAAGGUUCCCUCAGAAUGGUUGGAAAUCAUUCAUAGAGUGUAAAGGCAUAAGGGAGCUUGACUGCGAGACCUACAAGUCGAG
rnacentral:rRNA from 1 species